AACGAACGCUGGCGGCAGGCUUAACACAUGCAAGUCGAGCGCCCCGCAAGGGGAGCGGCAGACGGGUGAGUAACGCGUGGGAAUCUACCCAUCUCUACGGAAUAACGCAUGGAAACGUGUGCUAAUACCGUAUACGUCCUUCGGGAGAAAGCUUUAUCGGAGCUGGAUGAGCCCGCGUUGGUUUAGCUAGUUGGUGGGGAAAAGGCCUCCCAAGGCGACGUUCCAUAGCUGGUCUGAGAGGAUGAUCAGCCACACUGGGACUGCGACACGGCCCAGACUCCUACGGGAGGCAGCAGUGGGGAAUAUUGGACAAUGGGCGCAAGCCUGAUCCAGCCAUGCCGCGUAAGUGAUGAAGGCCCUAGGGUUGUAAAGCUCUUUCACCGGUGAAGAUAAUGACGGUAACCGGAGAAGAAGCCCCGGCUAACUUCGUGCCAGCAGCCGCCGCAGUAA
rnacentral:rRNA from 1 species